UAGUACAGCCUAAAUGCCCUGAAGGCAACAGAUCCUAACUGAUAAGGGAAGUUAAGUAGGGUCACCCAUAAUUAGUACUUGGAUGGGAGACCACCAAUGAAUACCAGGUGCUGUAGGUU
rnacentral:rRNA from 1 species